UGGUAUUCCCGGUCUUGCAUGGUUAGGAGCCCCUUUUUCUCUUUUAUUUUAUCUUUUCAAUAUAUUUUUUUAACUUUAGUUUUGGAUAUUGCGAAGGCUGAUCUCUGACUUUUCACACAGAUACAUUACAGAUAUGCUUACACACUGCACUCUUAUAUGUAUGUAUGUUCAGUUUUUCAGAGUUCAUCAAAUUCACAGAUAUCUUCUUUGAAUUCAAAGCAUUUGUCUCAGAUGUUCUCGUAACUUGGACAAUAAAGGAGAACCCUUUUUUGGAUGUUGACCACCAUGAAAACUUUAGAAGUUGAUUCUCGUCAUGCUGAACCAUGACUCCCGACCUCAUGCUGGUCCGCAGAUAGAGCACAUCCAGCGGCAUCAUGCUUAUAUAAAGCCUUGACUCGCGGCUCGCUUGCCAGCAGCACUCUGUUCCCUUAUCUCUAACUGGAUGGAAUUAGAUGGCAAUGAUAGGGCCUGCUGAUAACACUGUUGUUUCUUUGGUAACAGAACAGCAAAGCAUUUCACACACACAAACAACAGGCAAACAGGCCUACUCAUAAAAAGAGACAUUUCUCGUUAAGCAGGGCUUUGAAGAUGUUCACACGCAGGCAGAGUGUGUGUAACCGAUCAUGUGUUGUGGACGCAAAUGAGGAGGGACAUCUUAACACCCAUGCUUUAUAAUCGUCAUCUGCAAGUGGAUAAACAGGUUAAUACCAGGAACCUUUAACCCCAGGCCAAUGAGGGAGUUUCACUGAAGACGGAAUAAAAGAAAGAUGUUCCGGAACAAAGACUGACCAUCCCAAAAUCCAGACCUCAGCAUUACUGAAUAGUAAGAAGGAGAAAAUACAACCAACUUCUCAGACUGAACUUUGGAGGUUGCCCUCGUGUGACAUCGCAGUGACCCACAGCUGUGGCCUGUGUCAGGGUGCAGGGUUAUAUAAGGAGUGGCAUGGAUAUUUUGGGCGACUGGUUGAGUGUAUCACUUCACUCUGGGAUGAACUGGGAUCUGGACUGUCUCCAGGGACAUUGAGUAAAGGAAAAGGCCUGCCAGAACUCUAACGGGGCAGAGAAGGAGGAGCAGAAACACAUACACAUGCUUAAGCAUGCACACUCAUCUCUUUUUCGUGCUGCCUCUCAGGUUCACUGGAGUAUUUCUUUCAUAUUGUUCUAUUGCUAGCUUGCGUUUUCUCAGCAUACACUGAAACACUAUCGCGGCGGCACUUCAAGAGAAGAUCCAUUAAGGGGAACGGCUGUGAAUGACUUGCUCUUAUGCAACAGCUAACAGGUCCCGGGCUGGAAAAAUAAACAGACACACACACACACACAGAUCGCUGUGGACGUAAACACAAUUACAGGCCCUUAUUCUGAUGGAUCAGGUUUCCUAUCAUAAAGGCUGUACAUGUGCAGUACUGAGAAGACCACCCUUCCUUCAUUUAAUCUCCAAUCAAAACAAAUGUACCAUUAAGUACAAGUUAUUCCUUUUUCAGGAGAUAUUUCUGAGAAGAUUAGAUAAGGAAGUUCAAAAAAAUCAUACAGAGAAAAUGGGGCUCCUAUCAUCCGUGCAAGACCACCAAAACUGUCCCCAUCAGAUAAACAGUACUAAAAGCUUUCAUCUUUGAGAGACAGGAAAAAAAUAUCUGCUCUUUUUUCAGAUCUGAAAAUCCACAGGUGUUUCUGUCCAUCCUUCCACUGUGAAAAGACAACUCAACACUAUGGGUCUGAAAGAAUGCAUAGCUGUGAAGAAGCCAUUACUGGGAAAAAGAAACAGAUAAAAAAGAAGAAAAUUUGCAAAUAAGCUGCUGGUGUUCUCAGAACAAUGAACGGGUCAACCCAGACUCUAGACUUCAACGUUGAAUGUGUUUGGGAUUAUCUGAAUCAUGAGAAGCAAAAACUGCAACCAACUUCUAAGACUGAACUUUGCAGGUAGAAAAACCAAGGCUCCUGAAAAGUAUAGUAGCUGUAAUAAAGGCAGAGUGGACACAGUGGGAGGCGUGGCCAUGCGAGCAGCCAAGCACGGAGAUUCAUGGUAGGUGCUUAGCCUCCUAAAAAGUGGCUUUAAUGUGUUUGAAUGUAGUUGUGUGUUAGUGUAAUGAUGUGUUAUGUGUUAUUUGUGUUAUUUUGUGUUGGGGUGCAGGUUUACCUUGUUGUUAGUGUUUAAUGUGCUUUAUGUUGGGAAUUGGUCUACCGUCAGGGUGAAGCCUGUGGCUUUCUGCCCUGGUGUUUAAUAAAGAGCACUUCUCGUUGUGGAAAUCAUAGCCUCCCCGAUGUCUUACUCUGCACCAACGCUACAAUGUUAUAUUUAGUUUUUGAGCUUUUGUGUAAUUUUCUGUUAAGUUCAUGUUUUCU